UCUGCUACUCAGUCGCCUUCCGUUUCCCGACACAUCGCUCAAGCUACGGGCAGUGCAAUGGGACAAGCCUAGGAGGGAUGCGAAUUAGUGGAGUGGCGAGCUCACCUGCACAGGUGACCAUGCAGUCCCAGAAUCGCUGAAGAGCUCCAGCAUGGUCCACCCGGGAGGUACGGGAUCUGAUCACUGUAUGGGGAGACGAAUCUGUGCUGGCAGAAUGCCGUUUGAAAAGACGAAAUGCCAAAAUAUUUGAAAAAAUCUCCAGUGGCAUGAAGGACAGAGGCUAUAACAGGGACCCGCAGCAGUGCUGCGUGAAAAUUAAGGAGCUCAGGCAAGCCUACCAAAAAACCAGAGAGGCAAACGGCCGCUCCGAUUCAGAGCCCUAGACAUGCCGCUUCUAUGAUGAGCUGCAUGCCAUUCUAGGGGGUGCAGCUACCACUACCCCAACCCUGUGCUUUGACUCUGUCCAAGGCAACACGGAAGCGGGUUUUGAGGGUGAGGGAGAUGAUAGCUCACAGCAAGGAAGCGGAGAAACCGGUUUCCCCAACAGCCAGGAUCUGUUUGUCACCCUGACCUGGAGCCUGUACCCCCCAAACCCACCCAAGGCGGGCUCCCGGACCCUGAAGGCGGAGAAGGGACCUCUGCUGCAUAUGUUUCUCCUUCCCAGAGGCUAGCAAAGAUUAGAAGGCAAAAAAAACGCACUCGUGAUGAAAUAUUCUCUGACCUCAUGCUGUCCUCCCACACUGACAGAGCACAGCAAAAUACGUGGAGGCAGACAAUCUCAGAGUGCAGGAAAACACAAUAUGACUGCGAGGAGAGGUGGCGGGCUGAAGAUGGUAGGUGGCGUCAGCUUGCUGAAAGAAGGCAGAAGUCAAUGCUCAGGCUUCUGGAGGAUCAAACUCAUAUACUCCAGCAUAUCGUUGAGCUGCAGGAAGGGCAGCAGGACCACAGACCGCCACUACAGCCCCUGUGUAUCCAACCGCCCUCCUCCCCAAGUUCCAUAGCCUCCUUACCCAGAUGCCCAAGAAUGCAGUGGGGGGGCCCCCUCUGGCCACCCAGCCACUCCACCCCAGAGGAUUGCCCAAGCAACAGAAGGCUGGCAUUCAAUAAGUUUUAAAGUGCUGUGUGGCCUUGUCCUUCCCUCCUCCACCACCCCUCCCGAGCUACCUUGGCAGUUAUCCUCCUAUUUGUGUGAUGAAUAAAUAA